rnacentral:lncRNA from 1 species
GGGAGGCCGGGAGGGGUCCCUGGGCGGGGAGUUGCUGCGCAUCUGUUGUGUGUGUGCGUCUGUCUGUCUGUUCAGGUCUGUUUUAGGCUGUGUCUGCCUGUCUCUCUGUCUGGGUCUCUUUCAGGCUGCGUCGGUCUGUCUGUCUGGGUCUGUUUCAGGCUGUGUCUGUCUGUCUGUCUGGGUCUGUUUCAGGCUGUGUCUGGGUCUGUUUCAGGCUGUGUCUGUCUGUUUGUCUGGGUCUGUUUCAAUCUGUGUCUGUCUGUCUAGGUCUGUUUCAGGCUGUGUCUGUCUGUCUGUCCGGGUCUGUUUCAGGCUGUAUGUGUGUCUGCUCUUUGCUUCUGCUCCUGGCUCUGUGUGUAUUUCCCGGGUCCUGUGG